rnacentral:rRNA from 1 species
GAGGGUUUGAUCCUGGCUCAGGGUGAACGCUGGCGGCGCGCCUUACGCAUGCAAGUCGUGCGGGGUGUGGGCUUCGGCCCACGCCCAGCGGCAGACGGCUGAGUAACACGUGGGUAACCUGCCCGGAAGUGGGGGAUAACCCGGGGAAACCCGGGCUAAUACCGCAUGCGGUCCAGGGGGGCAGUUCCCCUGGACCAAAGCCCGCAAGGGCGCUUCCGGAGGGGCCCGCGGCCUAUCAGGUAGUUGGUGGGGUAACGGCCCACCAAGCCGACGACGGGUAGCCGGUGUGAGAGCACGACCGGCCAGAGGGGGACUGGGACACGGCCCCCACUCCUACGGGAGGCAGCAGCGAGGAAUCUUGGGCAAUGGGGGAAACCCUGACCCAGCGACGCCGCGUGGGGGAAGAAGGCCUUCGGGUCGUAAACCCCUUUUGCCGGGGAAGAAGCCCUGACGGUACCCGGCGAAUAAGCCACGGCUAACUACGUGCCAGCAGC